UACAGAGGGUGCGAACGUUGCUUGGAAUUACUGGGCGUAAAGCGCGUGUAGGCGGGUCGGCAAGUCAGGCGUGAAAUCCCCAGGCUCAACCUGGGAACUGCGCUUGAAACUGCCGGUCUUGAGUAUCGGAGAGGGUGGCGGAAUUCCUGGUGUAGAGGUGAAAUUCGUAGAUAUCAGGAGGAACACCGGUGGCGAAGGCGGCCACCUGGACGAUUACUGACGCUGAGACGCGAAAGCGUGGGGAGCAAACAGG
rnacentral:rRNA from 1 species